rnacentral:lncRNA from 1 species
AUGAGAAUCUAGGUCUGGCCACAAUUUCAGGUGUCUUCUUUUAAAGUUAUUUAUUUUUAAACACUUUUUUUUUUUUUGAUACAGGAUCUCACUCUGUCACCCAGGCUGGAGUGCAGUGGCAAGAUCGAAGCUCAUUAUAGCCUCGACCUCCCCAGGCUCAGGAGUCACUCAGAAUCCAGCCACCUUGGAUAUGAGGAAGCAGAGCAACCUCAUGGAGAAACCACGUAGGUGUUCCUGCUGACAAUCCUAGCCGAGAUCCCAGCCAACAGCCAGCAUAACCUCAGACAUAUGUUGAAGUAAAUUAAAAUGGAGACCAGGCCUGAAGAAUCUCUGAGCAGACAAAACCAGUUAGGCCUCAUAAGUGACCUCAACCUUGAUUUACAAACACAAGGGAAACUUAUGUUGAGCCAUUUCUUGUAAAUGCCUGUAUUAAAGAAAAACAAAACUUAAGCUCAACCAAUUGGAAGUAGCCAAAAACUUAUAUAACUAGGGACUUUCCAAGAAGGUGAAUGAAUGAAUAAGGCAACUGUAAAAUUGCAAUCAAUCAAAUUAUUUAUUUUGCUCCACAUUUACCCCAUAAAUACUUGCCCCUGAUGAUUUGUCAUGAGAAAAUUAAACUUCUUUUGGUUUGGUAUUUCCCAAUUCAUUAAUUGCUUCCUAUUCAAAUGAACUCUAUUUUUUUUUUUUUUGAGAUGGAGUCUCGCACUGUCACCUGGGCUGGAGUGCAGUGGUGCGAUCUCGGCUCACUGCAACCUCUGCCUCCCCAGUCACACAUUUCUCCUGCCUCAGCCUCCCAAGUAGCUGGGAUUACAGGCGCGUGCCACCACGCCUGGCUAAUUUUUUGUAUUUUUAGUAGAGACGGGGUUUCAUUAUGUUGGCCAGACUGGUCUCAAAUCCUGACCUCGUGAUCCACCCGACUCGGCCUCCCAAAGUGCUGGGAUUACAGGCAUGAGCCACAGCACCCGGCUGGUCAAAUGAGCUCUUAAAAUUUUUUUUUUGUGCCUUAGUUUACCUUUUACAUAUGUGAAUGAGCAACUCCAAAUGAUUCCAGCCCCAAGCUUUUAAGUCAUCUCAGGCUUCCAAGUCUUCUCAGCUGAAGUCUCAGUGAUUCUGAAGCAGAGACAAGUCAUCCCCAC